rnacentral:snRNA from 1 species
AGCUUUGCACAGUGGCAGUAUCGUAGCCAAUGAGAUUUAUCCGAGGCGUGAUUAUUGCUAAUUGAAACAGAGUUCAGAAGCAAC